AGGUUAACCGUAUAGGGGAGCCGUAGAGAAAUCGAGUCUUAAUAGGGCGUUUAGUUGCUGGGUAUAGACCCGAAACCAGGCGAUCUAUCCAUGAGCAGGUUGAAGGUUGGGUAACACUAACUGGAGGACCGAACCCACUGUCGUUGAAAAGCCAGGGGAUGACUUGUGGAUAGGGGUGAAAGGCUAAUCAAGCCUGGUGAUAGCUGGUUCUCCCCGAAAGCUAUUUAGGUAGCGCCUCGGACGAAUACCAUAGGGGGUAGAGCACUGUUUCGGCUAGGGGGUCAUCCCGACUUACCAAACCGAUGCAAACUCCGAAUACCUAUGAGUACUAUCCGGGAGACAGACUGCGGGUGCUAACGUCCGUAGUCAAGAGGAAAACAAUCCAGACCGCCAGCUAAGGCCCCAAAAUCAUAGUUAAGUGGGAAACGAUGUGGGAAGGCAUAGACAGCUAGGAGGUUGGCUUAGAAGCAGCCACCCUUUAAAGAAAGCGUAAUAGCUCACUAGUCGAGUCGGCCUGCGCGGAAGAUGUAACGGGGCUAAAACUAUGUGCCGAAGCUGCGGAUUUGACAUUAGUCAAGUGGUAGGGGAGCGUUCUGUAAGCCGAUGAAGGUGUAUUGAGAAGUAUGCUGGAGGUAUCAGAAGUGCGAAUGCUGACGUGAGUAACGACAAAACGGGUGAAAAACCCGUUCGCCGAAAGACCAAGGGUUCCAGUCCAACGUUAAUCGGGGCUGGGUGAGUCGACCCCU
rnacentral:rRNA from 1 species